GUGCUCACUUCAGCAGCACAUAUACUAAAAUUGGAAUAGAAUUAUACAGAGAAGAUUAGUAUGGCUCCUGAGCAAAGAUGACAUAUGAAUUUAUGAAGCAUUUUGUAUUUUU